rnacentral:rRNA from 1 species
UUACACAAAUAUGAAGGCGGGCUGGAACCUCUCGGGGUUACAGCCUUGCUGAAUUAUUCACCCUUGUCUUUUGCGUACUUCUUGUUUCCUUGGUGGGUUCGCCCACCACUAGGACAAACAUAAACCUUUUGUAAUUGCAAUCAGCGUCAGUAACAAAUUAAUAAUUACAACUUUCAACAACGGAUCUCUUGGUUCUGGCAUCGAUGAAGAACGCAGCGAAAUGCGAUAAGUAGUGUGAAUUGCAGAAUUCAGUGAAUCAUCGAAUCUUUGAACGCACAUUGCGCCCUUUGGUAUUCCAAAGGGCAUGCCUGUUCGAGCGUCAUUUGUACCCUCAAGCUUUGCUUGGUGUUGGGCGUCUUGUCUCUAGCUUUGCUGGAGACUCGCCUUAAAGUAAUUGGCAGCCGGCCUACUGGUUUCGGAGCGCAGCACAAGUCGCACUCUCUAUCAGCAAAGGUCUAGCAUCCAUUAAGCCUUUUUUUCAACUUUUGACCUCGGAUCAGGUAGGGAUACCCGCUGAACUUAA